rnacentral:tRNA from 1 species
GCGCUCGCGGCCUAAUGGAUAAGGCGCCUGACUUCUAAUCAGGAGAUUGUGGCUUCGAGUCCGCCGGGCGUA